GUGGGGAAUAUUGGACAAUGGGCGAAAGCCUGAUCCAGCCAUGCCGCGUGUGUGAAGAAGGUCUUCGGAUUGUAAAGCACUUUAAGUUGGGAGGAAGGGUAGUAACCUAAUAUGUUGCUACUUUGACGUUACCGACAGAAUAAGCACCGGCUAACUUCGUGCCAGCAGCCGCGGUAAUACGAAGGGUGCAAGCGUUAAUCGGAAUUACUGGGCGUAAAGCGCGCGUAGGUGGUUCAGUAAGUUGGAAGUGAAAUCCCCGGGCUCAACCUGGGAACUGCUUUCAAAACUGCUGAGCUAGAGUACGGUAGAGGGUGGUGGAAUUUCCUGUGUAGCGGUGAAAUGCGUAGAUAUAGGAAGGAACACCAGUGGCGAAGGCGACCACCUGGACUGAUACUGACACUGAGGUGCGAAAGCGUGGGGAGCAAACAGGAUUAGAUACCCGUGUAGUCC
rnacentral:rRNA from 1 species